GCCAGGCACAGUGGCACAUGCCUGUGGGCCCAGUAACUCUGGAGGCUGAGAUGGGAUGAUCGCUUGAGCCCGGGAGUUCUCGCCUGUAGUGUACUGUACCCACUGGGUGUCCAGGCAAAGUCCAGCACCAAUAUGGUGACCUCCUGGGAGCGGGGGACCACCAGGGUGCCUAAGGAGGGGUGAACCAGGACAGGUCGGAAAUGAAGCAUGUCAAAAGUCCCGCGCUGAUCAGCAGUGGGAUUGCUCCUGUACACAGCCACUGCACUCCAGCCCGGGUAACACAGCGAGACCCGUCUCUU
rfam:Nomascus leucogenys chromosome 2, whole genome shotgun sequence.